AGCUUUGCACAGUGGCAGUAUUGGAGCCAAUGAUUUUUAUCCGAGGCGAGAUUAUUGCUAAUUGAAAACUUUUCCCAAACAUC
rnacentral:snRNA from 1 species